UAUCCCCACGUCUUUACGGUGCGAUCUGAUUUGCAAUGCACAAAUGCAGACGUAACGGAAAGAAAAUCCGAUUAAUUGUUUCCUAACUGCCUUUGUUAGCGGUUAUGGUUUGGGGAACAAAGACGAGGAACCUGGCGUGCUGGUGAUUCUGCCUACACACGCUUCCCGAGCUGCUCGCCAUAUAGUGCACGUCUAUUCUCACAGGAAUAUUCUGUCAAUCACAGAGCCUGUGGGCAGCUCUGAAUCUACGGCCAUUUUGUGAGCGCAUCUACAGGGACAGACUUCACAUCAUAGACACAGAAACAGCGUUACACAACUGCACCCAGCUUAGGUAAAUCCUCACGGCUAGACCGACAUUUGGUUGCGUACGGCACCACACCCAAAACCACGCUGAGCAUAUGGAGCGCAACUCUCGCACUCACACGCUCCAGCAGAAGGAGACCGGUAGGCUCACCCUGGCACAGAGAGUGGAGAGACACAUGGGAGGGGUGUUUUGUAAUCUGCCAGGUCGUACCACCCACGGGAGAAAGCCGAUGAGAGGGG